rnacentral:rRNA from 1 species
CCUACGGGUGGCAGCAGUGAGGAAUAUUGGUCAAUGGGCGCGAGCCUGAACCAGCCAAGUAGCGUGAAGGAUGACUGCCCUACGGGUUGUAAACUUCUUUUAUAAAGGAAUAAAGUGAGGCACGUGUGCCUUUUGUAUGUACUUUAUGAAUAAGGAUCGGCUAACUCCGUGCCAGCAGCCGCGGUAAUACGGAGGAUCCGAGCGUUAUCCGGAUUUAUGGGGUUUAAAGGGAGCGUAGAUGGGUUGUUAAGUCAGUUGUGAAAGUUUGCGGCUCAACCGUAAAAUUGCAAUUGAUACUGGCAGCCUCGAGUACAGCUGAGGUAGGCGGAAUUCGUGGUGUAGCGGUGAAAUGCUUAGAUAUCACGAAGAACUCCGAUUGCGAAGGCAGCUUACUAAACUGCCACUGACAUUGAUGCUCGAAAGUGUGGGUAUCAAACAGGAUUAGAUACCCCUGUAGUC